rnacentral:rRNA from 1 species
GAGUGGCGAACGGGUGAGUAACACGUAGGCAACCUGCCCUUUGGUGGGGGAUAACAUUCCGAAAGGGGUGCUAAUACCGCAUGAGGUAAUCGAGUCGCAUGGCUUGAUUAUCAAAGGCUUCGGCCGCCGAAGGAUGGGCCUGCGCGCUGUUAGCUUGUUGGUGAGGUAAAAGCUCACCAAGGCUACAAUGGCUAGCCGGUCUGAGAGGAUGAUCGGCCACACUGGGACUGAGAUACGGCCCAGACUCCUACGGGAGGCAGCAGUGAGGAAUAUUGCACAAUGGGCGAAAGCCUGAUGCAGCUACCCCGCGUGUGGGAUGAAGUUCUUGCGAACGUAAACCACCGUUAGGAGAGACGACUAAGAGGUUUUGCCUCGAAUGACGGUAUCUCCAGCGAAAGCACCGGCUAACUCCGUGCCAGCAGCCGCGGUAAUACGGGGGGUGCAAGCGUUGUCCGGAAUCACUGGGCGUAAAGGGCGCGUAGGCGGGACUGUGAGUCUGGGGUGAAAGUUCGGGGCUUAACUUCGAAUUGGCCUUGGAUACUGCAGUUCUUGAGUUCGGUAGAGGGAUGCGGAAUUCCUGGUGUAGCGGUGGAAUGCGUAGAUAUCAGGAAGAACACCGGUGGCGAAGGCGGCAUCCUGGACCGAAACUGACGCUGAGGCGCGAAAGCGUGGGUAGCAAACAGGAUUAGAUACCCUGGUAGUCCACGCCGUAAACGAUGAGAACUAGAUGUCGGGGGGAUUUGCCCUUCGGUGUCGCAGUUAACGCAUUAAGUUCUCCGCCUGGGGAGUACGCCGGCAACGGUAAAACUCAAAGGAAUUGACGGGGACCCGCACAAGCGGUGGAGCAUGUGGUUUAAUUCGAUGCAACGCGAAGAACCUUACCUGCCCUUGACAUCCUCGGAACUUGUCAGAGAUGACUUGGUGCCUUCGGGAACCGAGUGACAGGUGCUGCAUGGCUGUCGUCAGCUCGUGUCGUGAGAUGUUGGGUUAAGUCCCGCAACGAGCGCAACCCUUGUCCCUAGUUGCCAACACUUCGGGUGGGAACUCUAGGGAGACCGCCGGUGACAAACCGGAGGAAGGUGGGGACGACGUCAAGUCAUCAUGGCCCUUAUGGGCAGGGCUACACACGUGCUACAAUGGCGCGUACAGAGGGUUGCCAGCCAGCAAUGGUGAGCUAAUCCCUUAAAGCGCGUCGUAGUCCGGAUCGGAGUCUGCAACUCGACUCCGUGAAGUCGGAAUCGCUAGUAAUCGCGAAUCAGAAUGUCGCGGUGAAUACGUUCCCGGGUCUUGUACACACCGCCCGUCACACCAUGGAAGUUGGUUGCACCAGAAGUAGGUAGCCUAACCCUC